rnacentral:lncRNA from 1 species
AUCAAGAUAUGGAGACGGCACUCCGGUGUCUUAUUGCUAGUAACCCCAACACCUGGAGUCAGCAACUGGUCUGGGUGGAAUAUGCCAGGAACACUCCCCUGCUCAGCUACUGGACUAUCCCCCUUUGAAUGUUCCAUGGGGUAUCAGCCCCCACACUUCCCAGAGCAAGAAGUUGAGGUCAACAUACCUUCAGUCCAGAUGUUUGUCCGCUGCUGUCGGCAUAACUGGAAAAUAGUGUCUACUCUUUCUGAGAUUGUCCUACUAACGGUGCGUUGAACUGUAUUCGACCCAGGAUGCCCAGGAUGCUGCACAGCUCUGUGUCCUCACAGGGAAGAUGGUCAUGGAGUACUCCAAACCCAAUGAGUGCCCUCUGGACCCUGGUAGACAAAACCUAGCUGAACACCUUACAUGGUGGCCACUCUGCUCCUGGAGGUCUGCCUGCAGUAUGUGCUGCCUGCAGGUAGGCUAGAACAGAAAACAUGCACACACGGUGGCCCAUCCCUAGUACCCUAGAACGACUGCAGUAAUGCCUAGCAUCAUAAUGCAUGUGUGUGUGUGUGUGUGUGUGUGUGUGUGUGUGUGUGUGUGUGUGAACUUGCGUCCUUCUCUCUACAUCCACAGGGGGCCACUUCAUUGUCAAAGGUCAGGAGAAGGUCAUUCUGGUCCAGGAGCAGCUGUCAAAGAACCACAUCAUCGUGGGGCAGGACAGAAAGGGAGCAGUGGGAGCCUCACUCAUAUCUAGAAUGACUCGACCAGAUUGCUCUGAAAUACAUUGGGAAUAAAGUGCGGCGACAGCGCGUGUGAGGAGGGCCCAAGAAGACCAAGAUGGAGGACGCUAGAGAGCUUCCCUCAUCCUCCCUCAUGUACCUGAGCUGAAGAAGAUAUCAGACCAGAUCAUCCCCAAGCAGCCCAGUUCCACAUAGUCAAAUGCAUGCGGAAGGACCAGAUCACCAACGGCAUGGUCAACGCCAUCUCCGCCACCUGUGGUCUGGUGAAGACCCUGGCCCUGAUGACCCACAUCACCACAGACAUGGAGGACGGCCCCAUCGUCAAGUUGGCCUUCAACCUGGGAGUGGUGACCACACACAGGCACACAGGCACACACCCACACACCCACACAUGCACGCCCAGACAUCCAGAGGCAUACACAUAAGCACUUGA